rnacentral:rRNA from 1 species
GGACCUCAGAUCAGGCAAGACCACCCGCUGAGUUUAAGCAUAUCAC